AACGAACGCUGGCGGCAUGCCUAACACAUGCAAGUCGAACGAGACCUUCGGGUCUAGUGGCGCACGGGUGCGUAACGCGUGGGAACCUGCCCUUAGGUUCGGAAUAACUCCCCGAAAGGGGUGCUAAUACCGGUUAAUGUCUUCGGACCAAAGAUUUAUCGCCUUUGGAUGGGCCCGCGUUGGAUUAGCUAGUUGGUAGGGUAAAAGCCUACCAAGGCGACGAUCCAUAGCUGGUCUGAGAGGAUGAUCCGCCACACUGGGACUGAGACACGGCCCAGACUCCUACGGGAGGCAGCAGUGGGGAAUAUUGGACAAUGGGCGAAAGCCUGAUCAAGCAAUGCCGCGUGAGUGAUGAAGGCCUUAGGAUUGUAAAGCUCUUUUACCCGGGAUGAUAAUGACAGUACCGGGAGAAUAAGCUCCGGCUAACUCCGUG
rnacentral:rRNA from 1 species